rnacentral:rRNA from 1 species
AACGAACGCUGGCGGCGUGGAUAAGACAUGCAAGUCGAACGAGAAACAUGAAUAGCUUGCUAAUUGUGUUUCUAGUGGCGCACGGGUUAGUAACACGUGAGCAACCUGCCCUGAAGUGGGGGAUAGCCCAGCGAAAGUUGGAUUAAUACCGCAUGAGACCUACGGGUGAAAGGAGCCUUCGGGUUUCGCUUUAGGAUGGGCUCGCGGCCUAUCAGCUUGUUGGUGAGGUAACGGCUCACCAAGGCGACGACGGGUAGCUGGUCUGAGAGGACGAUCAGCAACACUGGAACUGAGACACGGUCCAGACACCUACGGGUGGCAGCAGUCGAGAAUCAUUCACAAUGGACGAAAGUCUGAUGGUGCAACGCCGCGUGGAGGAUGAAGGCCCUAGGGUCGUAAACUCCUGUCAUUAGAGAGUAAGCUAUAUGUGUUAAUACCAUGUAUAGUUGAUAGUAUCUGAAGAGGAAGGGACGGCUAACUUCG